CCUACGGGUGGCUGCAGUGAGGAAUAUUGGUCAAUGGGCUUACGCCUGAACCAGCCAAGUCGCGUGAGGGAAGACUGCCCUAUGGGUUGUAAACCUCUUUUGUCAGGGAGCAAUUGGCGCUACGUGUAGCGUUAUCGAGAGUACCUGAAGAAAAAGCCUCGGCUAACUCCGUGCCAGCAGCCGCGGUAAUACGGAGGAUGCGAGCGUUAUCCGGAUUUAUUGGGUUUAAAGGGUGCGUAGGCGGAAUGCCAAGUCAGCGGUAAAAUCGCGGGGCUCAACCUCGCUCCGCCGUUGAAACUGGCGUUCUUGAGUGGGCGAGAAGUAUGCGGAAUGCGUGGUGUAGCGGUGAAAUGCAUAGAUAUCAGGAGGAAUACCGUUAGCGAAGGCGGCAAUCUGGAUGGAAACUGACGCUGAGGUGCGAAAGCGUGGGUAGCAAACAGGAUUAGAUACCCCGGUAGUC
rnacentral:rRNA from 1 species